GACGAACGCUGGCGGCGUGCUUAACACAUGCAAGUCGAACGGAAAGGCCCUGCUUUUGUGGGGUGCUCGAGUGGCGAACGGGUGAGUAACACGUGAGUAACCUGCCCUUGACUUUGGGAUAACUUCAGGAAACUGGGGCUAAUACCGGAUAGGAGCUCCUGCUGCAUGGUGGGGGUUGGAAAGUUUCGGCGGUUGGGGAUGGACUCGCGGCUUAUCAGCUUGUUGGUGGGGUAGUGGCCUACCAAGGCUUUGACGGGUAGCCGGCCUGAGAGGGUGACCGGCCACAUUGGGACUGAGAUACGGCCCAGACUCCUACGGGAGGCAGCAGUGGGGAAUAUUGCACAAUGGGCGGAAGCCUGAUGCAGCAACGCCGCGUGCGGGACGACGGCCUUCGGGUUGUAAACCGCUUUCGCCUGUGACGAAGCGUGAGUGACGGUAAUGGGUAAAGAAGCACCGGCUAACUACGUG
rnacentral:rRNA from 1 species